AGAGUUUGAUCCUGGCUCAGGACGAACGCUGGCGGCACGCUUAACACAUGCAAGUCGAACGAGAGAAGAGGAGCUUGCUUUUCUGAUCUAGUGGCGGACGGGUGAGUAACACGUGAGCAAUCUGCCUUUCAGAGGGGGAUACCGAUUGGAAACGAUCGUUAAUACCGCAUAACAUAAUUGAACCGCAUGAUUUGAUUAUCAAAGAUUUAUCGCUGAAAGAUGAGCUCGCGUCUGAUUAGCUAGUUGGUAAGGUAACGGCUUACCAAGGCGACGAUCAGUAGCCGGACUGAGAGGUUGAUCGGCCACAUUGGGACUGAGACACGGCCCAGACUCCUACGGGAGGCAGCAGUGGGGAAUAUUGCACAAUGGAGGAAACUCUGAUGCAGCGAUGCCGCGUGAGGGAAGAAGGUUUUAGGAUUGUAAACCUCUGUCUUCAGGGACGAAAAAAGACGGUACCUGAGGAGGAAGCUCCGGCUAACUACGUGCCAGCAGCCGCGGUAAUACGUAGGGAGCGAGCGUUGUCCGGAAUUACUGGGCGUAAAGGGAGCGUAGGCGGGAUCGCAAGUCAGAUGUGAAAACUAUGGGCUUAACCCAUAAACUGCAUUUGAAACUGUGGUUCUUGAGUGAAGUAGAGGUAAGCGGAAUUCCUAGUGUAGCGGUGAAAUGCGUAGAUAUUAGGAGGAACAUCAGUGGCGAAGGCGGCUUACUGGGCUUUAACUGACGCUGAGGCUCGAAAGCGUGGGGAGCAAACAGGAUUAGAUACCCUGGUAGUCCACGCCGUAAACGAUGAUUACUAGGUGUGGGGGGACUGACCCCUUCCGUGCCGCAGCAAACGCAAUAAGUAAUCCACCUGGGGAGUACGACCGCAAGGUUGAAACUCAAAGGAAUUGACGGGGGCCCGCACAAGCAGUGGAGUAUGUGGAUUAAUUCGAAGCAACGCGAAGAACCUUACCAGGUCUUGACAUCGUAUGCAUAGCUCAGAGAUGAGUGAAAUCUCUUCGGAGACAUAUAGACAGGUGGUGCAUGGUUGUCGUCAGCUCGUGUCGUGAGAUGUUGGGUUAAGUCCCGCAACGAGCGCAACCCUUACUGUUAGUUGCUACGCAAGAGCACUCUAGCAGGACUGCCGUUGACAAAACGGAGGAAGGUGGGGAUGACGUCAAAUCAUCAUGCCCCUUGUGACCUGGGCCUCACACGUACUACAAUGGCUGUCAACAGAGGGAAGCAAAGCCGCGAGGUGGAGCGAACCCCUAAAAGCAGUCUUAGUUCGGAUUGUAGGCUGCAACCCGCCUACAUGAAGUCGGAAUUGCUAGUAAUCGCAGAUCAGCAUGCUGCGGUGAAUACGUUCCCGGGCCUUGUACACACCGCCCGUCACGCCAU
rnacentral:rRNA from 1 species